GAGCUUUACAACCCGAAGGCCUUCUUCACUCACGCGGAAUGGCUGGAUCAGGCUUUCGCCCAUUGUCCAAAAUUCCCCACUGCUGCCUCCCGUAGGAGUCUGGACCGUGUCUCAGUUCCAGUGUGGCUGAUCAUCCUCUCAGACCAGCUACUGAUCGUCGCCUUGGUGAGCCUUUACCUCACCAACUAGCUAAUCAGACAUAGGCCAAUCCAGUAACGCGAGGUCCGAAGAUCCCCCGCUUUCCCCCUCAGGGCGUAUGCGGUAUUAGCACCGAUUUCUCGGCGUUAUCCCCCAUUACUGGGUAUGUUCCUAUGUAUUACUCACCCGUUCGCCACUCGCCACCAGGAGCAAGCUCCCGUGCUGCCGUUCGACUUGCAUGUGUAAAGCAUUCCGCCAGCGUUCAAUCUGAGCCAUGAUCAAACUCUAAUCGAAUUCCCGCGGCCGCCAUGGCGGCCGGGAGCAUGCGACGUCGGGCCCAAUUCGCCCUAUAGUGAGUCGUAUACAAUUCAYGSSSSGSSKSKSUUAUAYMCMUGGSRGGUCGAACGGAAGCCCGGGKRGCUUUGCUCYWGAUUGUGA
rnacentral:rRNA from 1 species